GGCAACGUAGCUCAGUUGGUAGAGCGCUCGGUUGAAGCCCGAGAGGUCGCAGGUUCGAACCCUGCCGUUGGCA
rnacentral:tRNA from 2 species